rnacentral:rRNA from 2 species
UUCGGGAACCGUGAGACAGGUGCUGCAUGGCUGUCGUCAGCUCGUGUUGUGAAAUGUUGGGUUAAGUCCCGCAACGAGCGCAACCCUUAUCCUUUGUUGCCAGCGGUCCGGCCGGGAACUCAAAGGAGACUGCCAGUGAUAAACUGGAGGAAGGUGGGGAUGACGUCAAGUCAUCAUGGCCCUUACGACCAGGGCUACACACGUGCUACAAUGGCGCAUACAAAGAGAAGCGACCUCGCGAGAGCAAGCGGACCUCAUAAAGUGCGUCGUAGUCCGGAUUGGAGUCUGCAACUCGACUCCAUGAAGUCGGAAUCGCUAGUAAUCGUGGAUCAGAAUGCCACGGUGAAUACGUUCCCGGGCCUUGUACACACCGCCCGUCACACCAUGGGAGUGGGUUGCAAAAGAAGUAGGUAGCUUAACCUUCGGGAGGGCGCUUACCACUUUGUGAUUCAUGACUGGGGUGAAGUCGUAACAAGGUAACCGUAGGGGAACCUGCGGUUGGAUCAC